UUUAAAGGUUGAAUGACAAGAUUGUAAACCUAAAAUUUGGUUAUCAACUAAAUAGCUUACCCAACGUAGAAGCUCAUUGAAAGAGGAAGGAAUAUUAAAGAAAGCGGUAGGCCCUAUCAAAACAUUUGCUGUCUGCCUCGCGAUGCGGUUUAAUUUUAUAAAUCGCGACACUCCUCCGCCAGUCAAGAUAAAAAAAUCGCGCGAUCGUUCUCGAUUGCGAGUGCGGCACAACCCUUACGUUAUCUCGACUUUUGUGCCUCAUAUAUCAUCUAUAAAUAGGCUGCCAAGAUGAAAGAGACAAAACAUUCGGAACUUCCCAGGCUGAGGAAAAUAAAGAGACAUGGAGGAAGGGAGCAGCACCAAUCCAGAUAACAAAAAAAAAUUGGGUCAGGGAGGAAAACGGAAAGGGAAAAAAAGGGUAAGUAUGAGGGAAUUGAAAGCAGAGAUGGCAAUGAUUUGUGAAGAACAAAACAGGCUGAGAGAAGGGCAAAAAGAAGUCCACCAAAAGUUCUUGAAAAUUCAAUCCAAGUUCUCCUUAAUGCGUGAACAAGGAAACUCUGCUUUGUUUUUUCAGUAGUCUCUAUGGCUGCUACUUGUCUAUUGUUUUCACCUUUACUUUUAAGUUUAGUUUAGAAUAAUGGAUUUGGAUCCGGUGAUUAUAUGUUUCACGCAGUAUAAUGCUGCAUUUAUUUCAUAUUAUGACUUCCAUUUGGUUAUUA